rnacentral:miRNA from 1 species
CCAAAUAACAUUUUGUAGCUUUAUUGAAUCUACAUUUCGACUAUAUUUUAGUCAUCAUCAGGACAGAUAUAUAGUCGAAACAUAGAUUCAAUAAAGCUACAAAAUGUUAUUUGGA